UUUAAUAUGGCAGACUAGUGCCUUGAACUUAAAUUUCAAAUAUAAAGACUUUCAAACCUUUUAUUAAAA
rnacentral:tRNA from 1 species